CCUUGCCAAGGUUGGGGUCGUGAGUUCGAAUCUCAUCACCCGCUCCAGUUCAAACAAAAGUGCCGGCAAAGACGC
rnacentral:tRNA from 1 species